ensembl:lncRNA
AAGGGUUAUAGAACAACGGCGAUAGCGGAAUUGUAAAUCUAAAACAUAGAAGGCGAUAAACUAAAGAGGCAGCGAUUACAGAUUUUAUUUAAUCAGCUUUUUCCCUUCAUGAAAAUAGGAAAAAAUGUUAGAGGCACAUUUUACCAUUUACAACUAAUUUACAGUAAUCUGAAAACCUUCGAUUUCAAAAUUACAUAAUUUUAACACAGCAUCUGCCACACAGACAAUAAAAAAAGCAAUUAGUGGUGAAUUCUGGACUAUUUAUUUACUUACGCCCCCAAAAUGUGGUCGCUCAUGAAUGCAGGAAACAGUGCAACGGCAAUUUGUGGGCGAGUUCAAGCAGUCAUACUUCAUAUUCAUUCUAAAUUUAUUUUGAUAUUUGUAAAAUCCCUGACAUGUAUAGCCAAGACCUGAGCUUUGAGCUAACCAAUUCACAUUAUCAAAUUUGCAACACAAAGGGGAAAAUAAGUGUUUACUGAAGCUGAGGCUCUAAAGAGAAACAGAACCAGACUCACAAUCACAUAUACACUGAUUAGGUUUUGAUUAGGUUUGAAUGUAUGAAUAAUAAGUAACCUGUACUCAUUCUAUAGUAUGGCAUAACACCUGGCUGCACCAGCAGCACCCACAGAAGCCUCAGCUAUUUUGGUAAUCACUUCCUCUGUGGCUUAAGGAGUAAAGGGAGUGAGAAGUCAAAUAUGCAGCAGUUGUAACACACUCAACUCUUAGAGCAGAGCACUCAAAAGUAUCUCUGGCAUCUUCCCACAAUGUAAGCACAAGCAAACUGUCUCUCUUUUUUUUUUUUUUUUGAAGUUUUCAUGUAGGACUCAAGACUGCACAGUUCCAGCAGUCUGAAGGUUUGAUUCUGCACAGCUCAUUUGGGCACGGUUCAGCUUUUCUGUUAUAUAUUACUGUGAUUAAUGCUAGCUUUUAUUUAUUUUGCUGUCCAGCACUUUGUGGCUGCAUGUCUGUAAAAGCAGAUUUAUAAAUAAGCUUUACACACUUACUUUCUCUCUGGAGCACCACACAUUCUAGUUAAAAGCUAUUUGCUGUUCUUCAGCUAGAGUGGUGCUCAGCUGUCAAAUCCAUAAGUAGAUAUACAGAUUAAUACAUUUGUGUAAUGUAAAAAUAGCGUGAGAAAAAUAAUAAUAACCUUCAUUAUACUCCGGGGUAAAUUUUAGUCUUUAUAUAAAAGUCUCAUCAUCUCAGUCCAUACUGAUGUGUCAAGAUAGGCGGCAUUCCCUCUAUUCCAUGUGCCACUGAGAUAAGAUGUAUUAUAUUUAAACUAUAAU